GACGAACGCUGGCGGCGUGCUUAACACAUGCAAGUCGAACGGAAAGGCCCUGCUUUUGUGGGGUGCUCGAGUGGCGAACGGGUGGGUACCACGUGAGUAACCUGCCCUUGACUUUGGGAUAACUUCAGGAAACUGGGGCUAAUACCGGAUAGGAGCUCCUGCUGCAUGGUGUGGGUUGGCAAGUUUCGGCGGUUGGGGAUGGACUCGCGGCUUAUCAGCUUGUUGGUGGGGUAGUGGCUUACCACGGCUUUGACGGGUAGCAGGCCUGAGAGGGUGACCGGCCACAUAGGGACUGAGAGACGGCCCAGACUCCUACGGGAGGCAGCAGUGGGGAAUAUUGCACAAUGGGCGGAAGCCUGAUGCAGCAACGCCGCGUGCGGGAUGACGGCCUUCGGGUGGUAAACCGCUUUUGCCUGUGACGAAGAGUGAGUGACGGUAAUGGGUAAAGAAGCACCGGCUAACUACGUG
rnacentral:rRNA from 1 species